GGGGGCGUGGCGGAAUGGUAGACGCUACGGACUUAACGAAAUUGAGCCUUGUUAGAGAAAUCUAUCAAGUGACCGCUCUCAAACUCAGGGAAACCUAAGUCUGAAAUGCAGAUAAGGCAAUCCUGAGCCAAGCCUCAUAAUUUUGAGGAAGGUGCAGAGACUCGACGGGAGCUACCCUAACACGUAAGGCUGAGGGUAAAGAGAGAGUCCAAUUCUUAAAGCCAAUACUUCGGCAAUAGCGAAAGCUAUAAGAGAAUGAAAAUCCGUUGACCGCAAGGUCGUGAGAGUUCAAGUCUCUCCGCCCCCA
rnacentral:tRNA from 1 species